rnacentral:lncRNA from 1 species
AUAUUAUUACUAUUUAUUGUAUAAUGAUCAAAAUAAACAUCAAUUAACUAUAAAGUAUGUUUAAUAAAUGAUGUAAACAUACCUUUUCACUUUUCAAAGUACAGAAAAUGAAAAAAAAAAACUCAAUUAAAUAAUAUCUAAUGAAAAUUUAUCAAAAUACCAAUACAAUUAUAGAUAAUUAUUGAUUGCUGCUGCUUCCAGCUUCAUCUACAAUUUACAGAAAGAUUCAAAACAAUUACUUUAGAUGACUGGUGCAGCCAAAACUUCCAAGCAGGACCUCAACUAAGGUUCGACAGAACGAUUUAAUCGAACCAACCAUCUAUAAAUUUUACAAAGCUUCACCACCAGUAUCCAAGCAGGUAUGGAUUACUCCUAUCCUUUUUUUUUUUUAAUAGCCUCCUAAUGUAUAUAUACUUUACAAGCAAACUCGAUAGUUUUGUGUACCCAAAUCUUCUUAUUCGCCAGUCCUAACUCAUCGUCCCAGCCCAGUCAUUUACCACCAAAACAUACCUCAAUUUGUGCAAGAAAGAAAGAUGCACUGAUUGACACUCAACAACAGCAACACAAUAUUCACAAAAUCUCUUCCAAGAUGAUUCCUCUUCUCAUCUCAUGGCUGCAGCACGACUCGAUUGGUCGUUUCGCGACAUCGACUAACAACCAUAAUAAAGACCAGAACCUCACGUGUUGUAUGUGAACCCGCCGCCGUGUGAUUGAUGAAAUACACAAUACACGAACUUUGCCAAUGAAAAUCCUAAUUGACAGAAGCAAGAGUUUGUUAAUAGGUAUCUGAACCCAUUACUCUAAUAAAUGUAACGCUUGGGUCCCUCGCCUCUACUAGCCUUCGGCCACCAAGUAGAUUCGCUAGAUCAACUUAUCAGACAGUAGACAUUAAAGAAACAAUUUUUUUUUUAAAAAAAACCCUAAUUUUUCUUAAUAGCUUCUGCCGGUAACCCAAUAAUUAGACCUUUUUUCUUUUUCAAAUUUCAGCCCUUUGAUAUUUUGCUUCACCAUCUGAUGAUGAAAUCGCUAAAAGACAAAGAAGAAGUGUUACUUUACUCCUUAUGCAAAGUAGCCGGACCCGUCAUUUAGUAUUUGCGGUGUAGAAACUAACUACCUACUCCAUCCACUUUUAUUUUGAUAAAUUAUUUUAUUAUAACAAUACCCAUAAUUUUUAAUAAUAACUCCUUCUUAUAAACUAACAUAAUAUAAUUACUUUAAACACUAAUAUCAAAAUUUGUUGUUCAAUAUAUAAUUCUCUUGCCAUAAACUCUAAAAAAAUUUAUUUUUUAUCUCUUAAACAGUAUUCAGUUAAAUAAGGAGCAAAUCAGUACUUUUAAUAUAUCUUGAACAUAUUUUUACUUUUUGAUUUAAAAAAAAAAAAAUAAGAAAGAUUUUUUUUGCAGUCUUUUCCCUUUACUCCGUUGUCUUCUUCUUCUUACUCUUUUUUUUAAUCUUUUUUUUUUUGGGCUAGUAGCCAUAUUUUUUUUUUCAAUGGUUAGGUUCAAAAAUUGGGAUAUAGAAACUGACAUUGAACAUAUUGUAAAUAAACAAAAAAUAAUAACUGAAACUUAUGCUAAAAAAAUGUGUUUAAAGCAUAAUUUGAUUCCAUUAUUUUAAAUGUUAAAUUAUUAUUAUUUCAUCUUAGAUGUGCUAAAUAGUUUCAUUAGUAUUUUGAGUAAAUUAAUUUAACUAGUUUAAAUAAUUUUUUAUUUUAAAGAAUAUAAAAAUAAAAUUUAAUUUUUUUAGGAUACGAGUAUAUAAAAUAAUAAAAUGGUACGAAUAAUUUUUAAAAUAUAAAUAACUCUACGCCCUAGUAAUAUAGUAUCAAUAAUAAUUGUCACAUGCGCUGUGCCAGCGUGUGUAUCCAAAUUGUGAAACGUGGCCACCUUCAAUUACGAAAAGCAGCGUCCGUAGGCAGUCUGUAAUCAGAUUCACAUGACGCACUCGCCAUCAACUGGCGCGUGUUUCACAAUCAUUUGACAGAAGAAACAAAACUUUUUAUCGUUGAGGACGAUGAUUAAGGAGUUUCAGCUUUUAAUUCUUUCAACUGCUCGGCGGUUUUCCAUUAAAAAAAAACGACGGCCACUAAACACGAGAUCGAAUCCAAACUUUCUCAAAGCUUUUAUUUCAUCGUCUUCUUCUACAAUAUAAAUGCAAAAAUAUAAAAGAAAAUAAAAUCCUUUUAAUUUGAUCCUCAGAAUUAAUAAAAGCACUUCCACAAACUUACACAAAUACAGUCACCAUCUCCAAAUCCAUCCUUAAAUAUAUAUUUUUAAAAAAAAAAAUUGAUCGUUUGGUUGUUUGUUGAGAAACCCAGUUCUCCAAAACCACCCAAAAAUAAUAAUAAUAAUAAUAAGGUGGGGUUAUAAAAGCUGAAUCUUUUCUUUUCUGCCGGUAAAAGCGUUUUUCCGGCUUGGCUUACCUGUGAGGAUGGAAAAAGAACCUCUUUUAUGUUAUUUGAGCCCGAGGAAGAAACCGACGCCGCCACCUCCUCUGUUUCCACUUCCAGAAGAUGGAGAAAUCUCAAUUCCAAUGCCUGUAACUCCUUCAGAGCUCAAAGAUAGACU